AUGCAUGCAGAAGAAAAAGAGCAGAACAGAAAGAAAAAAAAAUUUGUGGCAUCAGAAUCUGCCGGCCCAUCUCUCGCUCCCCCUCUCUCUGGCUCGGCUCAUGGCAUGGCGGCGGCGGCCAUCUCCCGUCCCCUCGCCGGCCGCGGGAGUCAGCGGCUUCCCGCCCCCGGUUUGAGCCGCGGCCCCUUCCUUAUCCACCAUCACGCCGCCACUCAGCAGCGACUGGGAGGCCUCCACCUUGAGCUCACGCCGGCCCUGCUGCCGGUCGGCGGUGGCCGACCUCGACCUGCGCGGAAGGGAGACGGCCCGGGGACAGUCCAGGGUGCGUGGGCGAGGGGAUGA
rnacentral:rRNA from 1 species